AGUGAACGCUGGCGGUAGGCCUAACACAUGCAAGUCGAACGGCAGUACAGUAAGAGCUUGCUCUUACGGGUUGCGAGUGGCGGACGGGUUAGGAAUACAUCGGACUCUACUUUUUCGUGGGGGAUAACGUAGGGAAACUUACGUUACUACCGCAUACGACCUACGGGUGAAAUCAGGGGAUCUUCGGACCUUGCCCGAUUGAUUGAGCCGAUGUCGGAUUAGCUAGUUGGCGGGGUAAAGGCCCACCAAGGCGACGAUCCGUAGCUGGUCUGAGAGGAUGAUCAGACAGACUGGAACGGAGACACGGUACAGACUCCUACGGGAGGCAGCAGUGGGGAAUAUUGGACAAUGGGCGCAAGCCUGAUCCAGCCAUGCCGCGUGGGUGAAGAAGGCAUUCGGGUUGUAAAGCACUGUUGUUGGGAAAGAAAAGCAGCAGGUUAAUACCCCGCUGUUAUGACGGUACCCAAAGAAUAAGCACCGGCUAACUUCGUG
rnacentral:rRNA from 1 species